CUUCUUUGUGAGGCAUUGGAAAACCUCCCUGGUAUUUGUGGUUAAAUCUGUGUUUGAAAUUCACUUCUCUGCUGAGGGACCUUGCAGAUAACUGUAUGUGUAGGGUAGAGAGAUGAGGUAGUCAUUCAGAACUCAUGUUAAUAAACACUAAUAUUGCACACAGAGUGAGUCCAUGCAACUUAUUUUGUGACUUGUUAUUAAUCACAUUUAUCUGAACUUAUUUAGGCUUGCACUAACAAAGUAGUUGAAUACUUAUUGACCCAAGACAUUUCAGCUUAUUAAUUUGUAAACAUUUCUAAAACAUAUUUUCACUCUGACUUUCUGAAGGCACAGCCGAAGCAAAACCAAAACACUGUGAUGGAACUAUCAGUUUAGUUGGAGAGGAUGAUGAUGGAACGACGUACCUCCCUUCCCUGGUUGUGAUCCUGGGUGUUGUGACUGCUGUUCUACUGAUAGUCAUCCUCAUCCUGGUCCUCAAGAUCAGACGAGACACAAAAACACACAACACAGGUAUCGAGGCUCAACUGCAGCUACAAAAUAGCCAGGAUCCGGAUCAGGACCCAGAGUCUCUGAACUACUCAGCACUGAGUUUCCGUCAGAAGAGGUCCAGAAAUAAGAAGAGAGCUGAAGGUCAAAUGAUGGAGAUGGAGUCAAAUGUUGUUUAUGCUGCCACAAGAUAAUUGUCAAAUGUUUUAAUGUUGAUAUCAGUGUACUGUAGCACUGAUAAAGAACUGAUGUAAUACAUUGAAUAGUAGUAGUCAUAAAUCCCCUUGUGACAGCCAUCGUGAUUGAGUGCUGAGGUAGAGGGGCCAGUGAGGAACGCAUCACUUCCUGUGUUGUGAGUGACAGGAAGGAGCAGCUCAGUGUUGAGUGAGACCUGCUGAGGUGAACAUCACUGGGCAUAUCAUAGUCUUGACAGAAAGAUAGUGUAAUAUUAUUAUAAUAUUUUUUUUUACUAAUAACCAAUAUUUUACUACUUUUUGAUAUUAAAGAUGGGCCCUGGGCGUGUAUCUCUAAUUCUGUGUAAUAAGAUUUAGGAUGCAAACCGCAACAAAAUGAGGGGCACUAGUUUGUAUAAUAUAUUUGAAUGUGUAUGAUAAUGGUAACACUGAUAGGCCUUGUUAUUUUCCACUGAGGUAAAGUCCUCUCUCUCUCUCUCUCUCUGAUGAAGACGAGCAACCUGCACCACAGGAAGACUGGCCUGGAGCUCUCUCUGUUUGUAUCUCUGUCUCUCUCUCUCUCUCUCUCUCUCUCUCUGUUUCUCUCUCUGUCUCUGCAUCUAACCACACAAUCUCUUAUCAGCAUUCAGGCCCCACAUCAAUUUCCAUUCCUACCGCUAGACUGAAAAUACCUGACCAAAACCAAACUAAUCCAGGCUCUAGACUAGAGAGUUGUGCACAAUGUGUGAAGUGUACAAUGACAAACACUAUUAUACUUCAAAACAUUAUCUGCUGUUGUUAUCGUAAUUGUAUGGUUGAAUUUAUUUGAAUGCAUGAUGUACAAUGAUAUGAGUGGACAUCUGGGGUUUGGGACACCUGUACACCGCCACUGCCAAAAAAUACAAAUCUGCUGUUUAGUAAAAUAGCCCACUAAAUGCAUGGUUAUGUUCUAACAGUCCAUAACAUGUUAGUUUUUUUCAACUUCUUGAACACUUUUUUGCACUUGUAGGCAUACUUCAAUCAUAGUGCAUACAUGAUGUGUUUGCAUG
ensembl:lncRNA